GGUUCUAUGGUGUAACGGUUAGCACUCCAGACUCCGAAUCGGGCGAUCUGGGUUCAAAUCCCGGUAGAACCU
rnacentral:tRNA from 1 species